UACAGAGGUGGCAAGCGUUGUUCGGAAUUACUGGGCGUAAAGGGCGCGUAGGCGGCCUUGUCAGUCAGACGUGAAAUCCCCAGGCUUAACCUGGGAACUGCGUCUGAUACUACAAGGCUGGAGUUCGGGAGAGGAAUGUGGAAUUCCAGGUGUAGCGGUGAAAUGCGUAGAUAUCAGGAGGAACACCGGUGGCGAAGGCGGGUCUCUGGGCAGUAACUGACGCUGAGGAGCGAAAGCGUGGGGAGCGAACAGG
rnacentral:rRNA from 1 species